CGCAGAGUCUCACAGUCAGACGCUGGAAGAUACUACUGUAAUGGAGAAACAGUGGAACUGACCGUAACAAAAAAUGGCAUGCCUACAAACCCCAGCAAAGCUUCUACAGCCCACCCUACUGUCUCAACAAACACUUCAGUCAGUGAACCAGAUGAAGACUCAUCUGGAAGAACACCUCAAAUUCUGUGGGCGGUCCUAGUCCUGGGUUGUGUGGUUGCUGGGCUCCUGGUAAUAAAGAAAGGUAAUGUUUUAUUUAUUUACUGCUCUAUAGCUGUAAAUGAUGACCUGUCUGAAAUUAAUGAAAC
rnacentral:lncRNA from 1 species